GAUCUCAACUUAAAAAAAGAUAUUGUGUUCCAAAUAAUGUUCCCACUUGUCCAAAAUUCCAAAUUACUCUCACAAGAAUUAGUGUUUUUUUUGUGAACAUGUGAAGCCAUCAUACAUUUACUACAAUCAUGAUAUGUUUGAACAUAAUUAAUAAAUAUUAUUUUUAUUUGCAUUUAAAAAAUACCAAGAUCGAUUCUGGGCAGAGGAGGGCCCUUCGAUGGUGGAGUUUACUGUUGCCGUCGACAGGUGGUGGGUGGAUCCACCGGAUUAGUUCUCAGAAACUGGUUGUCUCAUGGCGACCAGCGGUAUGUUUGGAUGAACGAUUGGGUGCGGUGCGGUGCGUUUAAUUUACUUUUUGUUUCACGCUACAGUAUCGCUAUAUUAUCUAAUCUCACUGCCACCGCUAUUUUUACACUAACCGUAGGUAAACGCACGAGGCUUUUUGAUUUCUGUUUAGGGGCUCUGGUAUAAAGAGUGUUUGGUUUGCUUUUCUUUAUUUUCUGUCAACGUUCCGUUUGCUGGUAUGUAUUUUCUUAUUUUUCUUUUCUCUAUUUGGUCAAUUUAUGAAUGUACUCUUUUAUAUUAAAUGAAAGCCAUCUUUUGUCAAA